AGCGAAGAAGGGCAAAUGGAGGAUGCCUGGGCAGCGCGUGCCGAAGAAGGACGUGGUACACUGCGAAAAGCGUCGGUGAGGGGUGUGCACCCGCAUGAGCCGACGAUGUCCGAAUGGGGAAACCCGCGUUGGGGCAUGCCAACGCAUCGCCUGCUGAAUCCAUAGGCAGGGGAGGGGCACCCGGGGAACUGAAACAUCUUAGUACCCGGAGGAAAAGAAAGGAUUCUGCGAGUAGUGGCGAGCGAAAGCGGAAGAGCCCAAACCGGAGCAAUCCGGGGUUGAAGGCCGUGCGAACGGGACUGGGAAGGUUAAUCGAAGCGGUCUGGAAAGCCGCGCCGCAGACGGUGAAAGCCCGGUAGAUGAAAGCCUGAGCAGCCCAGCACUGGGCCUGAGUACGACGGAGCACGCUAAUUCCGUCGGAAGCAGGGGAGUCCACUCCCCAAGGCUAAAUACAUGCGCUGACCGAUAGUGAACAAGUACAGUGAUGGAACGGUGAAAAGAACCCCGGUGAGGGGAGUGAAAGAGAACCUGAAACCGUUUGCCUACAAGCAGUCAAAGCACUACGAGUGUGAUGGCGUGCCUUUUGGAGAAUGAGCCACCGAGUUCAUCCAUGUCGCAAGCUUAAGGGAGAUUCACCCGGAGGCGAAGCGAAAGCGAGUUUGAAAGGGCGGAAAGUGGCAUGGAUGAGACACGAAACCAGGUGAGCUACCCAUGGGCAGCGUGAAGCGGAGUUAACCCUUCGUGGAGGCGCGAACCAGUAACUAUUGCAAAAGUUUUGGAUGACCUGUGGGUAGGGGUGAAAUGUCAAACGAACUUGGAGAUAGCUUGUUCUCCCCGAAAUAGCUUUAGGGCUAGCGUCGUGGCAGGACUGAGGGAGGUAGAGCACUGAUUGAGCUAGGGGCCGCAAGGUUACCAAACUCAUGCAAACUCCGAAUGCCUUCAGUUAACGCGCGGCAGUUGGACGGCGGGAGAUGAGUUUCGUCGUCGAAAGGGAAAGAACCCAGCCCCCCAGUUAAGGUCCCCAAGACCGUGCUAAGUGGCAAACGAGGUGGGUGUGUGUAGACAGCCAGGAGGUUGGCUUAGAAGCAGCCACCCUUUAAAGAGUGCGUAAUAGCUCACUGGUCAAACGCAUCUGCGCGGAUAAUGUAACGGGGCUCAAGCACGGCACCGAAACUAGGGAUACAGCGAUGUAUAGUAGGGGAGCGUCGUGAUUCCGUUGAAGGCCGACCGCAAGGCGGGAUGGAGGGAUCACGAGUGAGAAUGGUGGCAUGAGUAGCGAAAAACGUGUGAGAACCACGUUCGUCGAACGUCUAAGGGUUCCGACGGAAGGUCAGUCCGCGUCGGGUUAGUCGGGCCUUAGCCGAGGCUGAGAAGCGUAGGUGAUGGACAACGGGUGAAUAGUCCCGUACCGGCAGGUGGAGUAUGUGAGGGACGGGUGAGGAUAACGCAGCCUCCGGCUGGAAGAGGAGGUGGCAAGCGGUGAAUAGCCGUGAUGCCGGUGCCUACGGGCCGCAAGUGCGUGAGUCCCUGCCUCAAGAAAAGCUCAACAGCGAAGAAACCUGCCGCCCGUACCGCAAACCGACACAGGUAGACGGGUAGAAGAUACCAAGGCGAACGAGCGACCCCUUGUUAAGGAAUUAGGCAAAAUAGCCCCGUAACUUCGGGAGAAGGGGCGCCACCGUGAGGUGGCCGCAGUGAAAGGGUUCUGGCGACUGUUUAACAAAAACACAGGUCUCUGCGAAGGUGCAAACCGACGUAUAGGGGCUGACACCUGCCCAGUGCCGGAAGGUUAAGAGGAGAGGUUAGGGCGUAAGCACGACGCUUUGAAUUGAAGCCCCGGUGAACGGCGGCGGUAACUAUAACCGUCCUAAGGUAGCGAAAUUCCUUGUCGGGUAAGUUCCGACCCGCACGAAUGGUGUAACGAUCAGAACACUGUCUCAACAAGGGCCUCGGCGAAAUUGAAGGGCGCGUGAAGAUACGCGCAACCCGCAGCUGGACAAAAAGACCCCGUGGAGCUUGACUGUAGCUUGCUAUUGCGUUAGGGCGAGAUUUGUGUAGGAUAGCUGGGAGGCAGAGAACCUAGGGCGCCAGCCUUGGGGGAGCCGCCGGUGAAAUACCAGCCUGAUUUCGCUUUGGCCCUAACCUGUUGCCCUGAAGCGGGCAUGGGGACAGUGGCAGGUGGGCAGUUUGACUGGGGCGGUCGCCUCCUAAAAGGUAGCGGAGGCGUCCAAAGGUUGGCUCAGGUGGAAUGGAAACCCACCGUGGCGUGUAAUGGCACAAGCCAGCUUGACUGCGAGGCCGACAAGCCGAGCAGAGACGAAAGUCGGGCAUAGUGAUCCCACGGUACUGAGUGGAAGGGCCGUGGCUUACCGGAUAAAAGCUACCCCGGGGAUAACAGGCUAGUCUAGUCCAAGAGUUCACAUCGACGACUAGGCUCGGCACCUCGAUGUCGGCUCGUCGCAUCCUGGGGCUGGAUCAGGUCCCAAGGGUUGGGCUGUUCGCCCAUUAAAGCGGUACGUGAGCUGGGUUCAGACCGUCGUGAGACAGGUCGGUCUCUAUCCACUGUGGGCGUAAGAAGGUUGAGGGGAGCUGCCCCUAGUACGAGAGGACCGGGGUGGACGCAGCGAUGGUGUGCCGGUUGUCGCGCCAGCGGCAUGGCCGGGUAGCUAACUGCGGAGGCGAGAACCGCUGAAAGCAUCUAAGUGGGAAACGCACCUCAAGAUGAGCCUUCUGAUCUGGCAAACAGAGUAAGACCGCUGGGAGACGACCAGUUGGAUAGGGCGGCGGUGGAAGUGGGGUAACCCAUGCAGCCAACCGCUACUAAAGGUCGAGGGC
rnacentral:rRNA from 1 species